rnacentral:rRNA from 1 species
AGAGUUUGAUCCUGGCUCAGGAUGAACGCUAGCUACAGGCUUAACACAUGCAAGUCGAGGGGCAGCAUGAUUGAAGCUUGCUUCAAUCGAUGGCGACCGGCGCACGGGUGAGUAACACGUAUCCAACCUGCCGAUAACUCGGGGAUAGCCUUUCGAAAGAAAGAUUAAUACCCGAUGGCAUAAUAGAACCGCAUGGUUUGAUUAUUAAAGAAUUUCGGUUAUCGAUGGGGAUGCGUUCCAUUAGGCAGUUGGUGGGGUAACGGCCCACCAAACCUUCGAUGGAUAGGGGUUCUGAGAGGAAGGUCCCCCACAUUGGAACUGAGACACGGUCCAAACUCCUACGGGAGGCAGCAGUGAGGAAUAUUGGUCAAUGGACGAGAGUCUGAACCAGCCAAGUAGCGUGAAGGAUGACUGCCCUAUGGGUUGUAAACUUCUUUUAUAUGGGAAUAAAGUGGUCCACGUGUGGAUUUUUGUAUGUACCAUAUGAAUAAGGAUCGGCUAACUCCGUGCCAGCAGCCGCGGUAAUACGGAGGAUCCGAGCGUUAUCCGGAUUUAUUGGGUUUAAAGGGAGCGUAGGUGGAUUGUUAAGUCAGUUGUGAAAGUUUGCGGCUCAACCGUAAAAUUGCAGUUGAAACUGGCAGUCUUGAGUACAGUAGAGGUGGGCGGAAUUCGUGGUGUAGCGGUGAAAUGCUUAGAUAUCACGAAGAACUCCGAUUGCGAAGGCAGCUCACUGGACUGCAACUGACACUGAUGCUCGAAAGUGUGGGUAUCAAACAGGAUUAGAUACCCUGGUAGUCCACACAGUAAACGAUGAAUACUCGCUGUUUGCGAUAUACAGUAAGCGGCCAAGCGAAAGCAUUAAGUAUUCCACCUGGGGAGUACGCCGGCAACGGUGAAACUCAAAGGAAU